GGGAGGGCUGAUGAACAAUAUUCUCUGAGCUCGUUCAGAAACAAAGUGAAGAACCCGGGCAAAAACGCAAACAGCUCUACUGAGUUUCUGAGAGAUGGGAAUCGCCUUGCAGGUGGUGCAAGCACAUGGCUCGUUUAUGGGCUGAAUAAGCAUUACCAACCAGCCCAUCCUGGCUCAAGGUGGCACUUGAGUAUGUGAUGCCAACUGCCGCCGGCUGGAUGUUUAAAUUGCACAUCUUAUUUAUUCCCUUCCUAGAUGCGCAAGGAAGAUGUACAACAAUGGAAACAACAAUGGAGAAUACACGGGUUAAACUUCCAGACAUCCGUACACUCCCCUUCGAUGUGCAUGACAGUUAGGUUGGUAUCACCUUGAAAAGCAGUUUCAUGUAAGAUACAUCUUUAUUGUAAUAUGAUCCACAAAAUGUAUGUGUAUAUGAAUA